UGAGUCGGCUGAGUGGUUACUCUGAACUGUCUUGACACAUGUGUCAAGAGCGGUUCGGAGAGGAAAGUCCGGGCACCGUAGAACAGGAUGCCUCCUAACGGGAGGAGUCCCGGCUUCUUUGAUGUCGGAAUAUGGAAAGUGCAACAGAAAGUAUACCGCCUAUUAAGGCAAGGGUGAAACGGUGGUGUAAGAGACCACCAGUCCCGACCGUAAUGUCGGGAGCUUGGUAAACCCCAUCCGGUGCAAGAUCGAAUAGGCUCCGAGACGUUGUUCGCGUCGUUAUCAGGGGCGGGUAGAUCGCUAGAACCCGACGGCAACGUUGGGUCCAGAGGAAUGACCACUGCUUCUCAUCAAACUUAUUUGUUGGGAGGAACAGAACUCGGCUUAUAAGCCGGCUCAGAUG
rnacentral:RNase_P_RNA from 1 species